ACUUAACCAAACCAGUGAAAUGUUGAACCAGACAAGUUUCAAGAACCAGAGGAUAGACUGGGGAAUCUAUCAAGUCUCAGUGUCUGGCAAACCAAUUCCUGACUCUACAGUCCAGUUCUCUUGAAUUGGGAUAAAGGGAGUCCAAGAUCAUAAAGGUGUUGCCCCGCAUCCUGCACACAGGCCGGCAGUGAGUUCAGCUGAGUCUAGCUCUUGGCAUGAACUCUGGAAGAGUAGACAGCACUCAUUGGAUAGAAGGACACUGCCAAUGCAGAGAGAACUAAAAUUAGACCUACCAGCUGUGUUUUGGUUUUACAGACACGUGUGUGUCUGCUCGAUUCUUGAGCUUGCCGAGUGUUGAAAUAUAUAUGUAAAACUUGUUCUCUGAAGUAUACAAGGGAAGCGUGGAAUUCUUA